GACGAACGCUGGCGGCGUGCUUAACACGUGCAAGUCGAACGGAAAGGCCCUGCUUUUGUGGGGUGCUCGAGUGGCGAACGGGUGAGUAACACGUGAGUAACCUGCCCUUGACUUUGGGAUAACUUCAGGAAACUGGGGCUAAUACCGGAUAGGAGCUCCUGCUGCAUGGUGGGGGUUGGAAAGUUUCGGCGGUUGGGGAUGGACUCGCGGCUUAUCAGCUUGUUGGUGGGGUAGUGGCUUACCAAGGCUUUGACGGGUAGCCGGCCUGAGAGGGUGACCGGCCACAUUGGGACUAAGAUACGGCCCAGACUCCUACGGGAGGCAGCAGUGGGGAAUAUUGCACAAUGGGCGGAAGCCUGAUGCAGCAACGCCGCGUGCGGGAUGACGGCCUUCGGGUUGUAAACCGCUUUCGCCUGUGACGAAGCGUGAGUGACGGUAAUGGGUAAAGAAGCACCGGCUAACUACGUG
rnacentral:rRNA from 1 species